GAUGAACGCUGGCGGCGUGCCUAACACAUGCAAGUCGAACGAAGCAUCUAGAACAGAUUACUCUGGUUUGAAGCUCUUUAUGACCGAGUGGCGGAUGGGUGAGUAACUCGUGGGUAACCUGCCUUGAACUGGGGGAAAGCAGCCGAAAACCGCUGGCAAUAUCGCAUAAGCGGACAAUGUUCCUUGACCCGGGGGGAAAAACUUCGGCGGUAUACGAUGGACCCGCGUCUGAUUAGCUAGUUGGUGAGAUAACAGCCCACCAAGGCGACGAUCAGUAGCCGACCUGAGAGGGUGACCGGCCACAUUGGGACUGAGACACGGCCCAGACUCCUACGGGAGGCAGCAGUGGGGAAUAUUGCACAAUGGAGGAAACUCUGAUGCAGCGACGCCGCGUGAGUGAAGAAGUAAUUCGUUAUGUAAAGCUCUAUCAGCAGGGAAGAUAGUGACGGUACCUGACUAAGAAGCUCCGGCUAAAUACGUG
rnacentral:rRNA from 1 species